GGUUGGAUUGUUUAGUGUAGAACACCAGCAUGGUAUGCUGGAGACCCAGGUUCAAAUCCCCGUCCAAUCG